rnacentral:lncRNA from 1 species
GACUUUAGGGAAGCUUCGGUCAACCACUUGGUGUUGCACUGAAGUGGACUUAAGGAAAGGUCAAUGAUUUGAGAUCCUUCUAGAACCCGGUUACUAUUCUAAGACAGGUUGAACCAACCAAACUUCAGUGGGGAGGGUAUUUACCUAUGGAACUCACGCAAGCCUUAAAACCUAGGAAUGAUUGUUGUGUGACUUGCUUGUGCUUGUUAUUUAUCUAACAACAUGACAUCAUAACAACAUAACAUCAUAACAUCAUGGCAUUGUACUAACCAUUUCAAGGAUUUAGGGAUUUAACUCUGCAAAAAAAAAAACAGAAAAAACAAAAACAAAAGCAAAAACAAAAGAGAAAAGAAAAAAAAAGCUCUUUUUGUUAGUUUAUGCAAAGUUAAAUCCCGAAAGUCCUUGAAAACAUUUCAUACAUUGCAUUGCAUCGCAUAACAGGUAUUCUAAAGGAUCAGUGUUCUCACGAUUUUCCUAUCAAACAGAUUCCAGCAGAUUCAAACAGAUUGAACAAUGGCUCUCGAACA